GAUGAACGCUAGCGGCAGGCCUAAUACAUGCAAGUCGGACGGGAUUGGGGAGCUUGCUCCCCAUGAGAGUGGCGCACGGGUGCGUAACACGUAUGUAACCUACCCUUGUCAGGGGGAUAGCCUCUCGAAAGAGAGAUUAACACCGCAUAACAUUAUUGGAUGGCAUCAUUUAAUAAUCAAAUAUUUAUAGGACAAGGAUGGGCAUGCGGGACAUUAGCUAGUUGGUAGGGUAACGGCUUACCAAGGCUACGAUGUCUAGGGGAUCUGAGAGGAUGGCCCCCCACACUGGUACUGAGACACGGACCAGACUCCUACGGGAGGCAGCAGUAAGGAAUAUUGGUCAAUGGGCGCAAGCCUGAACCAGCCAUGCCGCGUGCAGGAAGACGGCCCUACGGGUUGUAAACUGCUUUUGCGCCGGAAUAAACCCUUUUACGAGUAAGAGGCUGAAUGUACGGCGAGAAUAAGGAUCGGCUAACUCCGUGCCAGCCGCCGCAGUAAAAC
rnacentral:rRNA from 1 species